rnacentral:misc_RNA from 1 species
GAAAUGCGAUAACUAGUGUGAAUUGCAGAAUUCCGUGAAUCAUCGAGUCUUUGAACGCACAUUGCGCCCCCUGGUAUUCCGGGGGGCAUGCCUGUCCGAGCGUCAUUGCUGCCCAUCAAGCACGGCUUGUGUGUUGGGUCGUCGUCCCCUCUCCGGGGGGGACGGGCCCCAAAGGCAGCGGCGGCACCGCGUCCGAUCCUCGAGCGUAUGGGGCUUUGUCACCCGCUCCCGUAGGUCCAGCUGGCAGCUAGCCUCGCAACCAAUCUUUUUAACCAGGUUGACCUCGGAUCAGGUAGGGAUACCCGCUGAACUUAAGC